rnacentral:lncRNA from 1 species
GAGACAGAAGGAGGCACACCUGAGAGGAUCUCACAUAGCCAGAGGAGCCUUCCAACACCACAGACACUCACACAGACCAGCCAUCAUGUCCGCCGCCGGAGGUACGUUUUACAUCAUUGAAUUUCAAUUACCGGUACUAGACACAAAUAGCCCGUUUUUCCCCCGAGAAUUUUAACGUUUUGACUCUCCUUGUUAUAUUAUAGUUCAUGAUGAUUUUCCAUUAUAAAUGUCAUUUGUCCUAUAUUCCAAAAAAAAGAAUUACAAUGUGGAGAUCAUGCCAAUAGGUAUCCCCUCUAGUCUCAGUUCUCCAUUAUACCAUGGGUUUAUCAGGCAAUAGCCAUAACCUGUGGCCUGAUCAUGAUUCAUGUACAUCACUAGCCAGUCAGGUAACAGGCAGAACGCCACAGGGAAUCAUGUGCUAGCUCGUUGUUCUAGCCACAUAGUAAACAUUCAUUUAGUAUGCUGUGGCUACAGAGACCGGCACAAGUUGGCUAGCUUCGCAGUGCACUGUACAUACAUACAGUACAUAUCCCAAAGCACCUUCACAAACUCAAACAAACCACUCUCAGUCACUGCUACCUCCCGUUGCCCGAGUGAGACACAACAUAUUAGCCUGCUCGUCCCCCAAAACAAACAGGGAACGUGGCUCAUCAUAACAUAUUGGUGUGACCUGCUCUGGGAGAUUUACGUUGACUUUCUGUGGGUCAGGUUUACUUUUGAGUCAGUCAUAUAUUGUUAGAAACCGGGUCGUGCGAACCCUGGAUGCUGAUUGGCUGAAAACCACGGUACUGAAUAUGAGACAAUAUACCACGGGUAUGACGCAAAACUACUUGUUUACUGUUCGUAUUACGUUGGUAACCUGUUUGUAAUAGCAAUAAGGCACCUCAGGGGUUUGUGGUAGCCCCCAAACCUAGGACCCCAGAUGGCAAUAAAAGCCACAGGGCUGGGACAACAGUAUGUUUCUCUGUCUAUUCUAUUUCUGUCACUCCUCUGAGUGUACCGGCCUGUAGAGUGUGGAUAUCCUCUUGGAUCUUAUCUUGUGUUCUCUGCUCUCUCAUCAGCUCCUGAGUACGACCCUGAUGCAGAAUUUGUGUACGGCAACAAAAUCCGCAGGUGUGGAAAGCCCAGGGAAAGAAAGGUUGAAGAGAAGCCCCUAGCGUAGGACGGCUGGGCGCUUGUGUGUUGUUGACUGUAAUGUGUGUGAGACUGCAUUCCUUUUUGUACUGAUAAACUUUGGACCCACUUUCGCUGUCCUGUGUUUUACUACAAAGUACAUUGAAAAUCAACCGGUGUAAAUUUGUUAGGGUGUUCUACCGGGCGGCCAGGUAGCCUAUCCGUUAAGAGCGUUUGAAAAAUCUGUCCACGUGCCAUUGAGCAAGGCACCUAACCUGAAUAGCUCCUGUAAGUCGAUCUGGAUAAGAGCAUCUGCUAAAAUGUAAAGUAGUCCCUGAGAUUGUAAUUCUAUGGUGUUAGGCCUAUACUGGCCAAAUAGUGCUAUAGCCUCCAUGUUAGCAGAAG